GCGCACGGAAAUGCAUGAAAGGCCUUGGAUUCAAAACUGGGUAUAACUCCUGUUCGGAUAUACAAAUUAAACAAAGUCUUAUCGUUACAAAUGGCUUUAUUUGUUGAAAAAAUAUUUCCAUAACAAUUACCAAACAUUUUAGUUGUACAGGGUGUCCCAAAAACCUCAAAACUAUUCAAAUAACAUAUUGUUAGAAUUUGAAUGCCUCAGCACUCUGCUAAACCCACAAGUGCAUAAAAGCUACUAAUGUAGUACACACUGUAGUACACAAAGAAUAGAUAGUAUUUCUAUGACAAUACGUUAUUUAUUAAUAGAAGAAGGGCAGUUGUGACAAUUAUAAUAAACUGGAUGACAAUAUUUCUUUUUCUUUUCCAUGCUACAACUAGGGUAAGGUUUUAAGUACUGUUUAAUAAACGAGCAGGAGUGUUUUAUUAGGUUUAAAGACUUUAGACCUAAUAAAACACGACCUGCGAGUUUAUUAAACGGCUUCAAAAACUCAUUAAUAAUUCAUGAAGCAAUUAUCCAAUCUUGAGUAAGAAAUUAGUCACGUGCAUACGUCUUUAUACCAGCUAAAGAACACUUUAACAAAAGACCAUUGUUAUGCAAACUAUAUAAAGAUUUUUAUAUAAAGGUUUUUAUAUAAAGAUUUUUAUAUAAAGAUUUUUAUAUAAAGAUUUGACUUAUUAUGCAUACGUUUUUGAAGUCAUUUAAAAAACUCGCGUGUCGUGUUUUAUUAGGUCUAAAGCCACUCGCGCUGCUGCCUUAUUAGUAUUCUUUAUAUAAAGAAUACUAAUGAGGAAACGACUACAAUAGAUACUGCCUUAUUAGUAUUCUUUAUAUAAAGAAUACUAAUUAGGAGUGUUUUAUCAGGUUUAAAGCCACUGCACGUGACAUAUUAUGGUUGACAUGAUUUGCCAAUAAGCUUAUGAAUUAUUAAUGAGUGUUUGAAGUUUAGGAUAGAUCACAGCAAUACUUAACCAACCAGGUUAUAAAUUUGGAAUUGUAUGCUGUCAAAUUUAAUCUAAUAGAACUUUCAAUCACGAGUCCAACCUCGCAAUUAGGGGACGAGGUUGUCACGAGUCUUGAAAAUUAGUACGAUGUCAUACCAAAAACCUUUCUCUAUAUUAGAACUGCCUUUCUUCAAACGAUAUUCAGUACCGCUCAGAAAUAACCUAACAAAACCCGAAUUUAAUUGAAUAAUAUGCGGUAAAUCGAACCAAAUCGCUAUCUAACCAUUAUACCGCGAGCGAACGGCGGUGUAAGAUUACUUCCGUACGGUACUGCAUUUAUCCAGAUAGUCUUUAAUUACCAAAUUUCAAUCACAUGGCACGAACAACUGUCUAGCAUGUAUUUCACAGUGAUUUUGUCAUAUAGAAAAGUAUCUAACUUGAAUUAUUAUUACGUGGAAUUUACAUCUUGCAUUCUCUAACUCAUGACACCAAACACAGGAUUAUGACGGCAAAUACUUGGUCCGAUUUCGUCGUAUUGCGCCUUCGUGUGACAUACAGAGUAAAAUUCGGGCUAAAAAGAAAGUUAAAUUAUUGCAUGCGUGUCAGCAAAUUUACAGAAGACAGAUAAAA
rnacentral:lncRNA from 1 species